GAUGAACGCUGGCGGCGUGCUUAAUACAUGCAAGUCGAGCGAAUAGACGAGGAGCUUGCUCUUCUGACGUUAGCGGCGGACGGGUGAGUAACACGUGCAUAACCUACCUAUAAGACUGGGAUAACUUCGGGAAACCGGAGCUAAUACCGGAUAAUAUAUUGAAUCGCAUGGCUCAAUAGUAAAAGACGGUUUUGCUGUCAAUUAUAGAUGGAUCCGUGUAGCAUUAGUUAGUCGGUAAGGUAACGGCUCACCAAGUCAACGAUGCGUAGCUGACCUGAGAGGGUGACUGGCAACACUGGAACUGAGACAGGGUCCAGCCUCCUACGGGAAGCAGCGCUGUGGAGUCUUCCGCAAGGGGCGGAAGCAUGACGGGGCAACGCCAAGUGCGGGAUGAAAGUCUUCGGAUCGUAAAACUCUGCUAUUAGGUAAGAACAAAUGAGUGAGUAACUAGGCACGUCUUGACGGUACCUAAUCAGAAAGCCGCGGCUAACUACGUG
rnacentral:rRNA from 1 species